AGGUAAUAAUCCUGUAGUCGAAAAUGUUGUCUCUCUUGAGUGGAUCCUGAGUACGACGGAGCACGUGAAAUUCCGUCGGAAUCUGGGAGGACCAUCUCCUAAGGCUAAAUACUCUCUAGUGACCGAUAGUGAACCAGUACCGUGAGGGAAAGGUGAAAAGCACCCCGGAAGGGGAGUGAAAUAGAACCUGAAACCGUGUGCUUACAAGUAGUCAGAGCCCGUUAAUGGGUGAUGGCGUGCCUUUUGUAGAAUGAACCGGCGAGUUACGAUUUGAUGCAAGGUUAAGCAGUAAAUGUGGAGCCGUAGCGAAAGCGAGUCUGAAUAGGGCGUUUAGUAUUUGGUCGUAGACCCGAAACCAGGUGAUCUACCCUUGGUCAGGUUGAAGUUCAGGUAACACUGAAUGGAGGACCGAACCGACUUACGUUGAAAAGUGAGCGGAUGAACUGAGGGUAGCGGAGAAAUUCCAAUCGAACCUGGAGAUAGCUGGUUCUCUCCGAAAUAGCUUUAGGGCUAGCCUCAAGUGAUGAUUAUUGGAGGUAGAGCACUGUUUGGACGAGGGGCCCCUCUCGGGUUACCGAAUUCAGACAAACUCCGAAUGCCAAUUAAUUUAACUUGGGAGUCAGAACAUGGGUGAUAAGGUCCGUGUUCGAAAGGGAAACAGCCCAGACCACCAGCUAAGGUCCCAAAAUAUAUGUUAAGUGGAAAAGGAUGUGGCGUUGCCCAGACAACUAGGAUGUUGGCUUAGAAGCAGCCAUCAUUUAAAGAGUGCGUAAUAGCUCACUAGUCGAGUGACACUGCGCCGAAAAUGUACCGGGGCUAAACAUAUUACCGAAGCUGUGGAUUGUCCUUUGGACAAUGGUAGGAGAGCGUUCUAAGGGCGUUGAAGCAUGAUCGUAAGGACAUGUGGAGCGCUUAGAAGUGAGAAUGCCGGUGUGAGUAGCGAAAGACGGGUGAGAAUCCCGUCCACCGAUUGACUAAGGUUUCCAGAGGAAGGCUCGUCCGCUCUGGGUUAGUCGGGUCCUAAGCUGAGGCCGACAGGCGUAGGCGAUGGAUAACAGGUUGAUAUUCCUGUACCACCUAUAAUCGUUUUAAUCGAUGGGGGGACGCAGUAGGAU
rnacentral:rRNA from 1 species